rnacentral:rRNA from 1 species
CUACGUGCCAGCAGCCGCGGUAAUACGGAAGGUCCUGGCGUUAUCCGGAUUUAUUGGGUUUAAAGGGAGCGUAGGCCGUGGAUUAAGCGUGUUGUGAAAUGCAGGUGCUCAACGUCUGCACUGCAGCGCGAACUGGUCCACUUGAGUGUGCGCAACGCAGGCGGAAUUCGUCGUGUAGCGGUGAAAUGCUUAGAUAUGACGAAGAACUCCGAUUGCGAAGGCAGCUUGCGGGAGCACAACUGACGCUGAAGCUCGAAAGUGCGGGUAUCGAACAGGAUUAGAUACCCUGGUAGUCCGCACGGUAAACGAUGGAUGCCCGUUGUCAGGCUGUUUCAGCCUGGUGACCAAGCGAAAGCAUUAAGCAUCCCACCUGGGGAGUACGCCGGCAACGGUGAAACUCAAAGGAAUUGACGGGGGCCCGCACAAGCGGAGGAACAUGUGGUUUAAUUCGAUGAUACGCGAGGAACCUUACCCGGGCUUGAA